ensembl:lncRNA
CCGGGACAGAAGCCUGCUCUCGAGAAACCAGGCAACAAGACCCAAACACAGGCCGCGGUCCGGCCCGGCCGGGCCCCACCGCGGCUCAAUCCCACUCCUCCAGGGCGGAGGGAUCCGGGACCUGGUCGUACGGGGAGCCCAGUCCGUCUCGCGCCCGAGAGCACAGUCGCUGGCACGCACCCAAAGGGUUGUCAUCACGGCCAAGCGGCCCCGGCAGAGCCUGGGCCAACACCGCCACCGUGCCCCACUUCAGGCCUUGACUCGGAGGUCAAAUGUCCUGACUUCGGAGGGCACCAGGAGCCCUCCCGUUACCCCGAGGAGACGCGGUCCCUUCAGAUCCCACGGCCCCUCCCCUGGGAUGGGUACGCACCCCAGGAUCCCGCGCAGAGACUCGAGGAAGACUAGGUGGCCGGGGUCGCGGGGCUCUGUGUAUAGCCCCCUCACCCAGGGUCACAGGCACCGAGAGACUCAGCAGUCUGUCAACUCUGGAGCCCUCCCGCAACCGCACGCGGUAUUUAAAGGGCCCAGAGUUUACCAGAUGGGGUCAAACGAACUAACUCCAACUCAGCGGACAAACUGCUGGUAGUCGGCUCGCGGCAAUAAUAUAAAAGUACUAGAUGCCCACCUUCACACUGGCCACACACACGGGGCCAAGCGAGCCAUCAACGUUUCAAACCCGCUGUCCCACGCACAUCGGCGGCUAACCGCGUCAUCCACACGUGUCAACAUUUUCUUGUAAACACGGUCCUGAUUUGCCCCUUGAAUUGGAUGAUUGGCUUCUGGGAGCCACACCUACUGAAGCUCUCUGAGGGCUUCGCCUGGGUGCAAAGAUAAAGAGUUUUGCUUCUUCUAAGGGUUCAUUGGCAGCGCUUAUCUUGGGGAGAAGUUUCAACCAGAGUUAAUGUAAAUAAGUGCUGGGAGGGGCUCUUGUGUGGUCAGGCUUACUAAGCAUAACUUCUUGUGAGCUUGCUUCUGGGCAUAAAGAGACAGAACC